UUAAGCGAUAUCGUUGGUCUGGCAUCAAUUUAUGUUAAUUGGGAACAACACGCUUUGUAUAUAUACCCAACUAAAAGAGUCGCGAAACAUACGUUGGUGUAGCUCCCUGUUUAUGAACGAAAUGACCAAAAUGAGGCUUAAACCAAACAGGGAUGUUUUACUUUUGUGUCUGGGUUUUCUUUGUUUUAGCCAAAUAUGCUGUGUAAGCCUUGGAAUAAUGCGAAGACAAGAGAGACACGGAGAGGAAAAAACAGAUGAUGUUAGAGUGGGGACCAUUAUGUUCGGCAGAGGAGAUAUUCCUGGCCCAGUGAAAAGUGAAGGAACUCGACACAUUGGCGAGGACACUGCAGGGGAUGGCUAUAACAUUCAAGCCGACACUGGUGGGUUGGUGGAUGGACAAGAUGUCAUUGAUGACUCCAGUUCUUCUAAGGCAGCCUGGGCUAGUAUGCGACCAACUGUGUUAUGUACUAAGGACCUCAUGAAGUUCUCGGCACAAGGCCCAGGAUCCUCUUCACUUCAGCUAGACAGAGCAGGAGGAAAACCCAUUUCGCUAAACCAGCUGCCGCAGGACUGUGGUUACUCUGUGUACAGGACUGAACUGGGCCUUCUGUUUCUCAUUGCCUAUGAUGGUUGUGAUGUUAUAAAUCAGGGUAGCAACCAUUUGCUCCAGAUGUUAUGGCAAAGCAAUCCAGUAACCCUUUGUUGCCCCAUGUCAACCCAAGCCUCACAAUCUCCUAUGGAUCCACCACUUCAGCCUACUCCUGCUCCAACAGAAGCAACUUCAUCCACUGCCUCUAAGCUUCCUCCACAAAAUCAGCAGCAGCAACAGUUGAUGCAGCAGCAACAGUUGAAGCAGUCUUACUUCAUGCACCCAGGAUACUCUAACCCUUUCAUGCCAGUGAAGGAUCCCUCCCAAACUACUGAAGCUCCAACUACUGAAGCUCCAACUACUGCAGCUCCAACUACUACAGAAGCAACUUCAUCCACUGCCUCUAAUCUUCCUCCACAAAAUCAGCAGCAGCAACAGUUGAUGAAGCAGCAACAGUUGAUGCAGUCUUACUUCAUGCACCCAGGAUACUCUAACCCUUUCAUGCCAGUGAAGGAUCCCUCCCAAACUACAGAAGCAGCUUCAUCCACUACCUCUAUGCUUCCUCCACAAAAUAAGCAACAGUUGAUGCAGCAGCAACAGUUGAAGCAGUCUUACUUCAUGCACCCAGGAUACUCUAACCCUUUCAUGCCAGUGAAGGAUCCCUCCCAAACUACUGCAGCUCCAACUACUACAGAAGCAACUUCAUCCACUGCCUCUAAGCUUCCUCCAGUGAAGGAUCCCUCCCAAACUACUGCAGCUCCAACUACUGCAGAAGCAACUUCAUCCACUGCCUCUAAGCUUCCUCCACAAAAUCAGCAGCAGCAACAGUUGAUGAAGCAUCAACAGUUGAUGCAGUCUUACUUCAUGCACCCAGGAUACUCUAACCCUUUCAUGCCAGUGAAGGAUCCCUCCCAAACUACAGAAGCAACUUCAUCCACUGCCUCUAUGCUUACUCCACAAAAUCAGCAACAGUUGAUGCAGCAGCAACAGUUGAAGCAGUCUUACUUCAUGCACCCAGGAUACUCUAACCCUUUCAUGCCAGUGAAGGAUCCCUCCCAAACUACUGAAGCUCCAACUACUAAAGAAGCAACUUCAUCCACUGCCUCUAAGCUUCCUCCAGUGAAGGAUCCCUCCCAAACUACUGAAGCUCCAACUACUGCAGCUCCAACUACUACAGAAGCAACUUCAUCCACUGCCUCUAAGCUUCCUCCACAAAAUCAGCAGCAGCAACAGUUGAUGAAGCAGCAACAGUUGAUGCAGUCUUACUUCAUGCACCCAGGAUACUCUAACCCUUUCAUGCCAGUGAAGGAUCCCUCCCAAACUACAGAAGCAACUUCAUCCACUGCCUCUAUGCUUACUCCACAAAAUCAGCAACAGUUGAUGCAGCAGCAACAGUUAAAGCAGUCUUACUUCAUGCACCCAGGAUACUCUAACCCUUUCAUGCCAGUGAAGGAUCCCUCCCAAACUUCUGAAGCUCCAACUACUGCAGCUCCAACUACUAAAGAAGCAACUGCCUCUAAGCUUCCUCCAGUGAAGGAUCCCUCCCAAACUACUGAAUCUCCAACUACUGCAGCUCCAACUACUACAGAAGCAACUUCAUCCACUGCCUCUAAGCUUCCUCCACAAAAUCAGCAGCAGCAACAGUUGAUGAAGCAGCAACAGUUGAUGCAGUCUUACUUCAUGCACCCAGGAUACUCUAACCCUUUCAUGCCAGUGAAGGAUCCCUCCCAAACUACAGAAGCAACUUCAUCCACUGCCUCUAUGCUUACUCCACAAAAUCAGCAACAGUUGAUGCAGCAGCAACAGUUGAAGCAGUCUUACUUCAUGCACCCAGGAUACUCUAACCCUUUCAUGCCAGUGAAGGAUCCCUCCCAAACUACUGAAGCUCCAACUACUAAAGAAGCAACUUCAUCCACUGCCUCUAAGCUUCCUCCACAAAAUCAGCAGCAGCAACAGUUGAUGAAGCAGCAACAGUUGAUGCAGUCUUACUUCAUGCACCCAGGAUACUCUAACCCUUUCAUGCCAGUGAAGGAUCCCUCCCAAACUACAGAAGCAACUUCAUCCACUGCCUCUAUGCUUACUCCACAAAAUCAGCAACAGUUGAUGCAGCAGCAACAGUUGAAGCAGUCUUACUUCAUGCACCCAGGAUACUCUAACCCUUUCAUGCCAGUGAAGGAUCCCUCCCAAACUACUGAAGCUCCAACUACUAAAGAAGCAACUUCAUCCACUGCCUCUAAGCUUCCUCCACAAAAUCAGCAGCAGCAACAGUUGAUGCAGUCUUACUUCAUGCACCCAGGAUACUCUAACCCUUUCAUGCCAGUGAAGGAUCCCUCCCAAACUACAGAAGCAGCUUCAUCCACUGCCUCUAUGCUUCCUCCACAAAAUAAGCAACAGUUGAUGCAGCAGCAACAGUUGAAGCAGUCUUACUUCAUGCACCCAGGAUACUCUAACCCUUUCAUGCCAGUGAAGGAUCCCUCCCAAACUUCUGAAUCUCCAACUACUGCAGCUCCAACUACUACAGAAGCAACUUCAUCCACUGCCUCUAAGCUUCCUCCAGAUCCCUCCCAAACUACUGAAUCUCCAACUACUACAGAAGCAACUUCAUCCACUGCCUCUAAGCUUCCUCCACAAAAUCAGCAGCAGCAACAGUUGAUGAAGCGGCAACAGUUGAUGCAGUCUUACUUCAUGCACCCAGGAUACUCUAACCCUUUCAUGCCAGUGAAGGAUCCCUCCCAAACUACAGAAGCAACUUCAUCCACUGCCUCUAUGCUGCCUCCACAAAAUCAGCAGCAGCAACAGUUGAUGCAGCAGCAACAGUUGAAGCAGUCUUACUUCAUGCACCCUGGAUACUCUAACCCUUUCAUUCCAGUGAAGGAUCCCUCCCAAACUACUGAAGCUCCAACUACUGCAGCUCCAACUACUACAGAAGCAACUUCAUCCACUGCCUCUAAGCUUCCUCCACAAAAUCAGCAGCAACAGUUGAUGAAGCAGCAACAGUUGAUGCAGUCUUACUUCAUGCACCCAGGAUACUCUAACCCUUUCAUGCCAGUGAAGGAUCCCUCCCAAACUACAAAAGCAACUUCAUCCACUGCCUCUAUGCUUCCUCCACAAAAUUGGCAACAGUUGAUGCAGCAGCAACAGUUGAAGCAGUCUUACUUCAUGCACCCAGGAUACUCUAACCCUUUCAUGCCAGUGAAGGAUCCCUCCCAAACUACUGAAGCUCCAACUACUACAGAAGUAACUUCAUCCACUGCCUGUAAGCUUCCUCCUCAGAAUCAGCAGCAGCAACAGUUGAAGCAACAUCAACAGUUGAAUAACCCCUACUUCAUGCACCCAGGGUACUCUAACCCUUGCAUGCCAGUGAAGGAUCCCUCCCAAACUACUGAAGCUCCAACUACAGGAGGAACUUCAUCCACUGCCUGUAAGCUUCCUCAAAAUCUGCAGCAGCAACAGUUGACAGUUGAUUUAGCAUCAACAGUUGAAUAACCCCUACUUCAUGCACCCAGGAUACUCUAACCCUUUCAUGCCAGUGAAGGAUCCCUCCCAAACUACUGAAGCUCCAACUACUACAGAAGCAACUUCAUCCACGGCCAUUCCAUCCAAACUGCCAACAACCAGCUGCCCUGACAAAAAUCUCCCGCAGCAGCACCUCCACCACAGCAGAGUCUGCAGGAGCAGAUUCCCUACUAUGAACCCUUCCAACCUUUUUCUGUCAAGUUCCUUAAUCCCUACUGAUCCUGACCAACCGAAGACCAAGACCAAAUCUUGGACCCAGGUGUUCUCUCAAUUACCUGUUUAUGAACCCUGAGCGCAAGAACGACCCCAAUAAACAUGUGACUCAUUAGUCCA
rnacentral:lncRNA from 1 species